GAUGAACGCUAGCUCCAGGCUUAACACAUGCAAGUCGAGGGACCGGCGCACGGGUGAGUAACACGUAUCCAUCCUGCCCUUUACUCGGGGAUAGCCUUUCGACAGAAAGAUUAAUACCCGAUGUAAAGGAUGGGGAUGCGUUCCAUUAGGUUGUUGGUGAUGUAACGUCUCACCAAGCCUUCGAUGGCUAGGGGUGCUGGGAGGAAGGUCCCCGACAUUGGAAAUGAGGCCCGGUCCAAAACGCUACGGGAGGGAGCAGUGAGGAAGAUUGGUCAAUGGGCGCUAGCCGGAACCAGCCAAGUAGCGGGAAGGAGGAAGGCUUAUGGGUCGUAAACUGCUUUUAUAUAAGAAGAUGUAUUAAAUGAAUAAGGAUCGGCUAACUCCGUGCCAGCAGCCGCGGUAAUUC
rnacentral:rRNA from 1 species